UACAGAGGUCUCAAGCGUUGUUCGGAUUCACUGGGCGUAAAGGGUGCGUAGGCGGCGCGGUAAGUCGGGCGUGAAAUCUCGGAGCUUAACUCCGAAACUGCAUUCGAUACUGCCGUGCUUGAGGACUGGAGAGGAGACUGGAAUUUACGGUGUAGCGGUGAAAUGCGUAGAUAUCGUAAGGAAGACCAGUGGCGAAGGCGGGUCUCUGGACAGUUCCUGACGCUGAGGCACGAAGGUCAGGGGAGCAAACGGG
rnacentral:rRNA from 1 species